UACAGAGGUCUCAAGCGUUGUUCGGAUUCAUUGGGCGUAAAGGGCUCGUAGGUGGCCAACUCAGUCGGACGUGAAAUCCCUCAGCUUAACUGGGGAACUGCGUCCGAUACUGGAUGGCUUGAGUUUGGGAGAGGGAUGCGGAAUUCCAGGUGUAGCGGUGAAAUGCGUAGAUAUCUGGAGGAACACCGGUGGCGAAGGCGGCAUCCUGGACCAAUACUGACACUGAGGAGCGAAAGCCAGGGGAGCAAACGGG
rnacentral:rRNA from 1 species